rnacentral:rRNA from 1 species
AGCAGCCGCGGUAAUUCCAGCUCCAAUAGCGUAUAUUAAAGUUGUUGCAGUUAAAAAGCUCGUAGUUGAAUUUCGGGGUCAGUAGGUUGGUCGUGCCACUGGUAUGCACUGGCUUCACUGAUUCCUCCCUCUUGUAGAACCGUAAUGCCAUUAAGUUGGUGUUGCGGGGAAACAGGACUGUUACUUUGAAAAAAUUAGAGUGUUUAAAGCAGGCUAACGCUUGAAUACAUUAGCAUGGAAUAAUGAAAUAGGACGUUCGAUCCUAUUUUUGUUGGUUUCUAGGAUUGACGUAAUGAUUAAUAGGGAUAGUUGGGGGCAUUAGUAUUCAAUUGUCAGAGGUGAAAUUCUUGGAUUUAUUGAAGACUAACUACUGCGAAAGCAUUUGCCAAGGAUGUUUUCAUUAAUCAAGAACGAAAGUUAGGGGAUCGAAGACGAUCAGAUACCGUCGUAGUCUUAACCAUAAACCAUGCCGACUAGGGAUCGGAUGAUGUAAUUUUUAAUGACUCAUUCGGCGCCUUAC